rnacentral:rRNA from 1 species
UACGGGGGGGAGCAAGCGUUGUUCGGAUUUACUGGGCGUAAAGGGCGCGUAGGCGGCCACCGCAAGUCGACUGUGAAAUCUCCGGGCUUAACCCGGAAAGGUCAGCCGAUACUGCGGGGCUAGAGUGCAGAAGGGGCAACUGGAAUUCUCGGCGUAGCGGUGAAAUGCGUAGAUAUCGAGAGGAACACCUGCGGCGAAGGCGGGUUGCUGGGCUGACACUGACGCUGAGGCGCGAAAGCGUGGGGAGCGAACAGG